rnacentral:misc_RNA from 1 species
ACACGUACGGGCCAAACACCAGUCUCCGAAAUUUUUAAAAAGAGCUAUUUGCUCAGAAGUUUAUAGUCGCUUUAUUGAGAACGGUGAUACUAUGACUAAAGGUUUUUCAUCCCAGUCAAAACGGAAUUUACCUCGAAUCGCAAUUUUAUUACUGCUGCUUGUGAUUUUUUUUGCUACCUACCAGAAAAACUGUGUUAGUAAUAAAAAUUGUAAUGCUUCAAAAAAAUUCCAGCUUGCAAAAAACGAUUUACCAGAUCUAAUGACGAUUUCAUCCGUUUUACAUUCUCCUUUACCACAUUAUAACUUGAUGGAAGAAACUUCGGGAUUUCGAAAAUCUGCUAAACAAACAAGUUACAGCAAUAAGUGUGGUCUAGAUUAUAUGAAUGCAAAUAAAAUGGAGCAAGAUCACCCAUGCGUAAUCGAAACAAUUCGACAGUUUUUCUUGCAUAAGCCGCCACCAUCGAAUGUUCCACUCAAACUGGAUUCCAACGAUGCUGGAAACCGGUCACCGGGACAGACUGCCGUUAUAAUGAGGCUCUUAAAAAAUCAGACUAAAGGUUUUUUUGUGGAAUGUGGUGCCCUAGAUGGUGAAUAUAUGUCAAAUACAAUCGACUUAGAACGCAAAUUUGGCUGGAAUGGCAUAUUGAUCGAAGCCAACCCAGUAACAUUUAAAAAACUUUCGGCUCGUCAUCGUAAAGCAUGGACGCUUCCCGUGUGUCUUAGUUUGGAACCAUUUCCUACAAAAGUCACUUUUCAAAUGAAGGUGGGCGACCCCGGUCAUAGCCACAUCGAAGGAGAGUCUGAAACCUUACAGGAACCCGGCAUACCUGGAGUCGAUCCAAACUUAAUAGAAGUCCAGUGUUUUCCCUUUUACUCAAUACUGUUAGCCGUUGGUGUAACUCAAGUGGAUUUUCUAAGCCUCGACGUCGAAGGUCACGAACUGAAAAUUCUCAAAACCAUUCCGUGGCGGAAACUGGAUAUUAAGUUCCAGGGCUCUAAUUUGUUCCGGACAGUGUCUCUCUCCUGCUGCGUGCUGGUUUACUGUGCUUGAUGAUGACUUCGACGAUGAUGCAGUCGACGACUUCUUUGAAGAGCAUUGAGUGCAGGUGAUGCAUUUAAAUUGCUUCGGGUUUGACACGAUGCAUGCGCUCGUGCGAUGUGCACCGGCACAUUUCCCGCAGACGUCUUCAGUGGCCUUGCAAUCUUUAAGGUGGCCGUACAUUUGGCACUUGAAGCAGCGACGGAUCUACCUGUUUAAGUCGGGUUGAGUUACACGACAGCGUCUUGCCGGAAGAAAGAUUUCAGCCCGCUUCAGAAACUCUUCUUUGACGGCUUUCGAUGAUUCCUGUAUCUUAUCUCCUCCAGAAUUGUAUCUCCAGAGGCUUCCCGAUUCAUGAAACGAACCAACACUGGAUGAUACUCGGUCGGCUCACUUACGGUUUUGAAAAUCUCUUUACAGUUCGGAGAGGAUUCCAGGAUCUUCUUGGCAGCUGCUCUUGAAACUACAACGAUGAAGGAUUGUGCCGAUAUGAUGCCGAUCAGAAAACUACCCGCUUCAAGAUUGACUCCAUUCAUACUUAAGAUCGGUGAAUGUUUCACCAUAAUUGUUGAAAAACAAGCAUUUACACAAACGUCUAACUCGUGCACGGAAGCCAUAGUUUUCCUUCUUUCUGUGUAUUACAUGUUCCAUAUUAUAGGGUGGUACAAAGCCACCAUUCAUGCAAACCGAAUUGUUAAAACUGCCGUUACAUGAUCAAGAAAUUCAUUUUGAUUAUGUUUCUAUCUUUACAAAUGAUCUGCAUGCCGUUUACGAAGAGCAAGAGUAAUUUUUUUUCAAUUAUCCUUAACAUUUGUUUAAUAACCCUGUUUUAAACCAAGACGAUGGACGCAUUGUCCUGCCAUUUUGUUUCUUCUUUUUUUUUUUUUUCGCAAAAAAUUCUGUUUGGGAUUUAUGUUUUAUCAAUUUUUCUAUUGUUACAUAAAUACAAUGGUUUUUGGUAAA